UUAAGCGACUAAGCGUACACGGUGGAUGCCCUGGCAGUCAGAGGCGAUGAAGGACGUGCUAAUCUGCGAAAAGCGUCGGUAAGGUGAUAUGAACCGUUAUAACCGGCGAUGUCCGAAUGGGGAAACCCAGUGUGAUUCGUCACACUAUCGUUAACUGAAUACAUAGGUUAACGAGGCGAACCGGGGGAACUGAAACAUCUAAGUACCCCGAGGAAAAGAAAUCAACCGAGAUUCCCCCAGUAGCGGCGAGCGAACGGGGAGCAGCCCAGAGUCUGAAUCAGCUUGUGUGUUAGUGGAACGGUCUGGAAAGUCCGACGGUACAGGGUGAUAGUCCCGUACACCAAAAUGCACAGGUUGUGAACUCGAAGAGUAGGGCGGGACACGUGGUAUCCUGUCUGAAUAUGGGGGGACCAUCCUCCAAGGCUAAAUACUCCUGACUGACCGAUAGUGAACCAGUACCGUGAGGGAAAGGCGAAAAGAACCCCGGCGAGGGGAGUGAAAAAGAACCUGAAACCGUGUACGUACAAGCAGUGGGAGCACCUUCGGGUGUGACUGCGUACCUUUUGUAUAAUGGGUCAGCGACUUAUAUUCUGUAGCAAGGUUAACCGUAUAGGGGAGCCGCAGGGAAACCGAGUCUUAACUGGGCGUUAAGUUGCAGGGUAUAGACCCGAAACCCGGUGAUCUAGCCAUGGGCAGGUUGAAGGUUGGGUAACACUAACUGGAGGACCGAACCGACUAAUGUUGAAAAAUUAGCGGAUGACUUGUGGCUGGGGGUGAAAGGCCAAUCAAACCGGGAGAUAGCUGGUUCUCCCCGAAAGCUAUUUAGGUAGCGCCUCGUGAAUUCAUCUUCGGGGGUAGAGCACUGUUUCGGCUAGGGGGGUCAUCCCGACUUACCAACCCGAUGCAAACUACGAAUACCGAAGAAUGUUAUCACGGGAGACACACGGCGGGUGCUAACGUCCGUCGUGAAGAGGGAAACAACCCAGACCGCCAGCUAAGGUCCCAAAGUCAUGGUUAAGUGGGAAACGAUGUGGGAAGGCACAGACAGCCAGGAUGUUGGCUUAGAAGCAGCCAUCAUUUAAAGAAAGCGUAAUAGCUCACUGGUCGAGUCGGCCUGCGCGGAAGAUGUAACGGGGCUAAACCAUGCACCGAAGCUGCGGCAGCGACACUAUGUGUUGUUGGGUAGGGGAGCGUUCUGUAAGCCUGCGAAGGUGACCUGUGAGGGUUGCUGGAGGUAUCAGAAGUGCGAAUGCUGACAUAAGUAACGAUAAAGCGGGUGAAAAGCCCGCUCGCCGGAAGACCAAGGGUUCCUGUCCAACGUUAAUCGGGGCAGGGUGAGUCGACCCCUAAGGCGAGGCCGAAAGGCGUAGUCGAUGGGAAACAGGUUAAUAUUCCUGUACUUGGUGUUACUGCGAAGGGGGGACGGAGAAGGCUAUGUUAGCCGGGCGACGGUUGUCCCGGUUUAAGCAUGUAGGCUGGUUAUCCAGGCAAAUCCGGAUAAUCAAGGCUGAGGUGUGAUGACGAGGCACUACGGUGCUGAAGUAACAAAUGCCCUGCUUCCAGGAAAAGCCUCUAAGCAUCAGGUAACAUCAAAUCGUACCCCAAACCGACACAGGUGGUCAGGUAGAGAAUACCAAGGCGCUUGAGAGAACUCGGGUGAAGGAACUAGGCAAAAUGGUGCCGUAACUUCGGGAGAAGGCACGCUGGUGUGUAGGUGAAGUCCCUGCGGAUGGAGCUGAGACCAGUCGAAGAUACCAGCUGGCUGCAACUGUUUAUUAAAAACACAGCACUGUGCAAACACGAAAGUGGACGUAUACGGUGUGACGCCUGCCCGGUGCCGGAAGGUUAAUUGAUGGGGUUAUCCGUAAGGAGAAGCUCUUGAUCGAAGCCCGGUAAACGGCGGCCGUAACUAUAACGGUCCUAAGGUAGCGAAAUUCCUUGUCGGGUAAGUUCCGACCUGCACGAAUGGCGUAAUGAUGGCCAGGCUGUCUCCACCCGAGACUCAGUGAAAUUGAACUCGCUGUGAAGAUGCAGUGUACCCGCGGCAAGACGGAAAGACCCCGUGAACCUUUACUAUAGCUUGACACUGAACAUUGAGCCUUGAUGUGUAGGAUAGGUGGGAGGCUUUGAAGCGUGGACGCCAGUCUGCGUGGAGCCAACCUUGAAAUACCACCCUUUAAUGUUUGAUGUUCUAACGUUGGCCCCUGACCGGGGUUGCGGACAGUGUCUGGUGGGUAGUUUGACUGGGGCGGUCUCCUCCCAAAGCGUAACGGAGGAGCACGAAGGUUAGCUAAUCCUUGGUCGGACAUCAGGAGGUUAGUGCAAUGGCAUAAGCUAGCUUGACUGCGAGCGUGACGGCGCGAGCAGGUGCGAAAGCAGGUCAUAGUGAUCCGGUGGUUCUGAAUGGAAGGGCCAUCGCUCAACGGAUAAAAGGUACUCCGGGGAUAACAGGCUGAUACCGCCCAAGAGUUCAUAUCGACGGCGGUGUUUGGCACCUCGAUGUCGGCUCAUCACAUCCUGGGGCUGAAGUAGGUCCCAAGGGUAUGGCUGUUCGCCAUUUAAAGUGGUACGCGAGCUGGGUUUAGAACGUCGUGAGACAGUUCGGUCCCUAUCUGCCGUGGGCGCUGGAGAAUUGAGGGGGGCUGCUCCUAGUACGAGAGGACCGGAGUGGACGCAUCACUGGUGUUCGGGUUGUCAUGCCAAUGGCACUGCCCGGUAGCUAAAUGCGGAAGAGAUAAGUGCUGAAAGCAUCUAAGCACGAAACUUGCCCCGAGAUGAGUUCUCCCUGAGACUUUAAGUCUCCUGAAGGAACGUUGAAGACGACGACGUUGAUAGGCCGGGUGUGUAAGCGCAGCGAUGCGUUGAGCUAACCGGUACUAAUGAACCGUGAGGCUUAACCU
rnacentral:rRNA from 1 species